AGUAAAUAAGAAGCAUUAGGUUCUAAAAGAUUAAUAGGGAAAUCGGUUAAAUUCCGAUACAGCCCCCGCUACUGUAAGUGUGUACGAAACCAACGGGUCCACUGGAUAAUAUCUGGGAAGGUGUUGGGAGUAGGUUGAUCCACGAGUCAGGAGACCUGCCUAAUUGCUUGUAUGAAG
rnacentral:ncRNA from 2 species